CAGUCGCCGCGGGAAUACGAAGGGUGCAAGCGUUAAUCGGAAUUACUGGGCGUAAAGCGUGCGUAGGCGGUGAGUUAAGUCUGCUGUGAAAUCCCCGGGCUCAACCUGGGAAUGGCAGUGGAUACUGGCUCGCUAGAGUGUGUCAGAGGAUGGUGGAAUUCCCGGUGUAGCGGUGAAAUGCGUAGAGAUCGGGAGGAACAUCAGUGGCGAAGGCGGCCAUCUGGGACAACACUGACGCUGAGGCACGAAAGCGUGGGGAGCAAACAGGAUUAGAAACCCCCGUAGUCCCUGUCUCUUAUAC
rnacentral:rRNA from 1 species